rnacentral:rRNA from 1 species
UACGGGGGGAGCAAGCGUUGUUCGGAUUUACUGGGCGUAAAGGGCGCGUAGGCGGCCAGCACAGGUCAGUUGUGAAAUCUCCGAGCUUAACUCGGAAAGGUCAACUGAUACUGUGCGGCUAGAGUGCAGAAGGGGCAACUGGAAUUCUUGGUGUAGCGGUGAAAUGCGUAGAUAUCAAGAGGAACACCUGCGGCGAAGGCGGGUUGCUGGGCUGACACUGACGCUGAGGCGCGAAAGCUAGGGGAGCGAACGGG